UACAGAGGUCCCAAGCGUUGUUCGGAUUCACUGGGCGUAAAGGGUGCGUAGGCGGUCGGGUAAGUCUGAUGUGAAAUCUCACAGCUUAACUGUGAAACUGCAUUGGAUACUAUUCGGCUUGAGAGUUGGAGGGGGGACUGGAAUUCUUGGUGUAGCAGUGAAAUGCGUAGAUAUCAAGAGGAACACCAGUGGCGAAGGCGAGUCCCUGGACAACUUCUGACGCUGAGGCACGAAAGCCAGGGGAGCAAACAGG
rnacentral:rRNA from 1 species